AGCAAAUAAAGAAAUUAAGUGGCAAAUCAAGUUGAUGGGGUACAGUUGGAUAUAUAUAUAUCUUGCUUCUUGCUUCCACUUACAAAAGAAAAAAAAAUCUCAUUCCUCUCUUGCUUUUCCUCUUAUAACCGAGUUUGUAUUGCUCAGAUUCUCAUUUUCCUUACUCAAAAUAUUUUUCUCUCUCAAGAAAAAAAUCCCAACAAAACCCCCACCAUUUUGAAGCAAAUCUCAUUACUUUCCAACCAUUAAUUUAGGUAAAUCUUAUUCUUAAGCUCAGUACUCUACAAGUUUUUUGAUGGAGGGUACCUUCCUCUAUUGUUUGCCUCGACUCCUGUGACCAUUAUGUAUUUAUGAAACUAUGGCUACCAAAAGAAGUACAAGUAUGAACUAGACAACAAAGAUUCUACUCAUAAAUUGGUGGAGGUAGCCUCUGAUCUAAGCAUCCAUCGUGUCCUAGGUGUUGCUCUACUUUACACUGAGCUUGUCCAUGGAAAUUCCCCUAUAUUCAUUCACUAUGUUGCGAAUGUACUACCUUUACACUCAGUUCUUGUCUUUGUUUCAAUCAAGUAUCCAACCAUUAGCAUAGUCGCCCCAGAGGAACGAUUUUUGUUUGAACGAAUAGAGCAUUAUGAGCUAGGCAUUUUCCGAUGUAUUGUGAGGUAUGGAUAUAAGGAUUCAAGAUUUGAAUGGGAGUUUUUUAAGGAGAUGUUGGUGAAUCAAUUGAAGGAGUUCAUACGAAAUGAUGUGCUCAAGCUUGAUGAAUUAGAUGAUAACAACAAAGUAGAAAAGAUUGAUGAAGAAAUGAUGUAAAGAGAGGUGGGAACUGUGGAUGAUGCACUAAUAUUUGGAGAUGUUUAUCAAAUAGGUAAAAAUGAAGUGAUGGAUUCAAAGAGGUCUAGCUUUUCGAAGAAGUUAGCUAUAAACUAUGUCUAUAAUUGGUUGAUGUGUAAGACAGGCAGAUGAAGUUUUCAUGAUUCCUCGCAGGCGUCUUCUCAAGGUGGGAAUGACUUAUAAGCAUGUGGGAGAUAAUACUUGGUGAAGUGCAUUAGUGGUUCAGUAAGAGAUGCUUAUGAUCAAAACCAGACAAUUCAGGUCAAGAUUGUUGAUUAUCUUGGUGGAAUACCGUCUCCCCCUUCAGCUUUCAACACCACCACGGUUUUAUCCAACACAACUUUUGGGUCCAUUACAAAUUUAGCUACUUCUUCUCUCUCUAUCAAUAUUGAAUAUCAACCGGUAUGAUAUGUGGGAAAUAACAUGACUUGGACAUCAAUUCAUAUUCAACUUGGUUUGUUGGACUGAGUUUUAAACAAAUUUCUUUAAGGCUGCUAUAUAGAAAUUUGAAAUGGUUUUUCAUGCCAUUAGCAAACUAAAGUUGAAAGAAAAUCACAACAAACUUAUCAAAAUCUCUAGACCUCAUAAUUCAUUCCCACCUUGAGAAGACGCUUGCGAGGAAUCAUGAAAACUUCAUCUGCCUACCUCACACAUCUUUUCAACCAAUUACAAGCAUAGUUUAUAGCUAACUUCUUCAAAAAGCUAGACCCCUUUGAAGCCAUCACUUCAUUUUCACCUAUUAGAUAAACAACAUCCCCAAAUUUUAGUGCAUCAUCCAUAAUUCUCAUCUCUCUUUGCCCCAUUUCUACUUCGUUGUUAUCAGCUAAUUCAUUAGGCUUGAGCACAUCAUUUUGUAUGAGCUCCUUCAAUUGAUUCACCAACAUCUCCUCAAAAAACUCCUACUCAAAUAUUGAAUCCUCAUAUACAUACCUUACAACUCAUCGGAAAAUACCUAGCUCAUAAUGCCCUAUUUGUACAAACAAAAAGCGUUCUUUUGGAGGGACUGUGCUAAUGAUUAGAUACUUGAUUGAAACAAAGACAAGAACUGAGUGUAAAGCUAGUACAUUCGCAACAUAGUGAGUGAAGGGAAAAUUUCAUAAACAAGCUCAGUGUAAAAUAGAGCAACACCCAGGACACGAUGGAUGCUUGGUUCAAAGGCUACCUCCACCAAUUUAUGAGUAGAAACUUUGUUGUCUAGUUCAUAUUGUACUUCUUCCAGUAGCCAUAGUUCCAUAAAUACAUAAUGGUCACAAGUGUCAAGGCAAACAAUAGAGGAAGGCACCCUCCAUCAACAAACUUAUGGGAUACUGAGCUCAUGAAUAAGAUUUACCUAAAUUAAUGGUGGGAGCGUAAUUAGAUUUGCUUCAAAAUGGUGGGGGUGUUGUUGGAGAUUUUUUCUUGAGAGAGAAAAAUAUUUUCAGAGAAAAAAAUAAGAGUUUGGGCAAUACAAACUCGGUUAUAAAAGGAAAAGUAAGAGAGGAAUGAGGUUUUUUUUUUUUCUUUUGUAAGUGGAAGCAAGAAGCAAGAAGCAAGAUAUAUAUAUACACACACAACUAUACCCCCAUCAACUUGAUUUUCCACUUAAUUUCUUUAUUUGCUUUUCUCAGCAACUACUUUUCAUGACACUUAAAUAAAGCAUUAAUCAAGUAAGGGGCAACAAAUUUCUAAAAAAAAAAAAAAGGUUAUGGGCAACAAAUAGAUAGGAGAAAUGAGAAUCACACUUCCUAAAUGAGAUACAAAUUUUUGAUAUUUUUUGAUGAAAUAAUAUUCAUUUUAUACACUGUAAGGACACUAUUUGUAACGACCCGAAAUGAUAUUGGGUUCGCACGUAAAAAGGCCCAAACAAUAUCAUUUAUAGAGUGUGGG